CUGCUGAGAAGCUCGGCCAGCAGCAUGUGGAGCAGAUCUGUGUCUGGAUAGAGGAGUUUGGCGGCAUCGAGAAGAUUGAGACCCUACAGAACCACGAGAACGAGAGUGUCUACCAGAGCGCCUUACAGCUCAUCGAGAAAUACUUCUCAGGAGAGGGAGAUGAAGUUGAGAACUUGGCCCCUGAGAGCACCGCAGAAGGCUACAACUUCACCCAGUCAGCUGCAGAGGUGCCACAGGGAGGCUUUUCCUUCUGAUCCACCAGACGUGCCAAUAAACAUGGACCAAAGACACAAACAUGCCAAAACAAUACAACAUUUGUGUAAAAAAAAAACCUCCUUCUUGUAAUGCAGUAUAAUGUCCCACAAAUCUGGAAUGAAAUCACGAUUGUUCACAAGUCAAAAGGUACAAACAGGUACAUAUGAUAUGAUGGGAACAAGACUGGAAAUUUUGUCAACAUGUGGAAAGGAAAUACCAAAAAUUUGAAACCUUUGAGGAUUUUUACACAAACGAUAUACUAGUACAUAUUUUGCAGGAAAAUUACUUCUCUACAUUCCUCAGAAGCAAUCUAUUUUUGCAUGAAUGUUAUGCCAGAACAUACACUCUGCUAUACUGUACAUAUUUCAUAAGAUUGUCUGAUCUGUGUUGGUGCUCAAAGAGUCAAAUUCUAUCUGUGCCUAUGCUGUCUCUUCUUCAAUCUAUGUAUGUGAAUGUAAAAUCUUCUGAAACCAUACAUUGUGAACACACUUGAGUGACUUAGAUAGAGACAUAUUAUGAAAUAGCAAGAAAAUAUGUAGCCUUUCUGUCCUGUAAACAAGCACAAAGAAUUUAUAUUAAAACACUGUAGAGCAAUA